CCUGGAAACACUGUUUCUCGUUCGAUCACCGAAGUAAAGAAACAUCGAGGUUAGUCAGUACUUAGAUGGUGGACAACCUGGGAAUACCAGAUAUUGUA